UACGUAGGGGGGCUAGCGUUGUCCGGAAUCAUUGGGCGUAAAGAGCGUGUAGGCGGUCCGGUAAGUCCGCUGUGAAAGUCGGGGGCUCAACCUCGAAUGCCGGUGGAUACUGUCGGGCUAGAGUGCGGAAGAGGCGAGUGGAAUUCCUGGUGUAGCGGUGAAAUGCGCAGAUAUCAGGAGGAACACCAAUGGCGAAGGCAGCUCGCUGGGACGGUACUGACGCUGAGGCGCGAAAGCGUGGGGAGCAAACAGG
rnacentral:rRNA from 1 species